CAAUAGCAUAUAUUAAAGUUGUUGCAGUUAAAAAGCUCGUAGUUGGAUUUCAAGAGUCGCAUCCGGACACCCGGUAUGCCCUCUACGGUCUUCUGACUGUUACUGUGAGAAAAUUAGAGUGUUUAAAGCAGGCUAUUGCAGGAAUAUAUUAGCAUGGAAUAACGAAUGUACUUACAAUUUGGUUAAUUGUAGGUUUCGAUUAAUAGGGACAGUUGGGGGCAUUAGUAUUUAAUUGUCAGAGGUGAAAUUCUUGGAUUAGUUAAAGACUAACGUAUGCGAAAGCAUUUGCCAAAGAUGUUUNCAUUAA
rnacentral:rRNA from 1 species